UACGAAGGGGGCUAGCGUUGUUCGGAAUUACUGGGCGUAAAGCGCACGUAGGCGGGUUCUUAAGUCGGUGGUGAAAUCCUGGAGCUCAACUCCAGAACUGCCUUCGAAACUGGGAAUCUUGAAUCCGGGAGAGGUGAGUGGAAUUCCGAGUGUAGAGGUGAAAUUCGUAGAUAUUCGGAAGAACACCAGUGGCGAAGGCGGCUCACUGGACCGGUAUUGACGCUGAGGUGCGAAAGCGUGGGGAGCAAACAGG
rnacentral:rRNA from 1 species